GACGAACGCUGGCGGCGUGCUUAACACAUGCAAGUCGAACGGAAAGGCCCUGCUUUUGUGGGGUGCUCGAGUGGCGAACGGGUGAGUAACACGUGAGUAACCUGCCCUUGACUUUGGGAUAACUUCAGGAAACUGGGGCUAAUACCGGAUAGGAGCUCCUGCUGCAUGGUGGGGGUUGGAAAGUUUCGGCGGUUGGGGAUGGACUCGCGGCUUAUCAGCUUGUGGGUGGGGUAGUGGCUUACCAAGGCUUUGACGGGUAGCCGGCCUGAGAGGGUGACCGGCCACAUUGGGACUGAGAUACGGCCCAGACUCCUACGGGAGGCAGCAGUGGGGAAUAUUGCACAAUGGGCUGAAGCCUGAUGCAGCAACGCCGCGUGCGGGAUGACGGCCUUCGGGUUGUAAACCGCUUUCGCCUGUGACGAAGCGUGAGUGACGGUAAUGGGUAAAGAAGCACCGGCUAACUACGUG
rnacentral:rRNA from 1 species